UACGUAGGGUGCGAGCGUUAAUCGGAAUUACUGGGCGUAAAGCGUGCGCAGGCGGUUAUGUAAGACCGAUGUGAAAUCCCCGGGCUUAACCUGGGAACUGCAUUGGUGACUGCAUCGCUGGAGUAUGGCAGAGGGGGGUGGAAUUCCACGUGUAGCAGUGAAAUGCGUAGAGAUGUGGAGGAACACCGAUGGCGAAGGCAGCCCCCUGGGCCAAUACUGACGCUCAUGCACGAAAGCGUGGGGAGCAAACAGG
rnacentral:rRNA from 1 species